rnacentral:lncRNA from 1 species
AUGCACACUCACACUCGAUCAUCCCCACCUUUGCUCACAGCCAAGUGCAAACACACAACCCUCAUUGCACACCCACCCCCAUUGCACACCCCCCAUUGCACAAACUCACCUCUCAUUGCACACCCAACCCUCAUUGCACACCCCCAUUGCACACCCAUCUGCACACCCCCUAAUUGCACACCCACCCCUCAUUGCACACACCCCCAUUGCACACCCCUCCAUUGCACAACCCCAUGUGCAAACACACCCCUAAUGCACACACCCCUCAUUGCACACCCAUUUGCACACAUACAAGUGCAACACGCUUGUGCAAACCCCGUUGCACACCCAUGCACACUCACACUCGAUCAUCCCCACCUUUGCUCACAACCACGUGCAAACACAACCCCCCUCAUUGCACACCCAACCCUCAUUGCACACACCUCCCAUUGCACAAACACCUCUCAUUGCACACCCAACCCUCAUUGCACACCCAUUUGCACACGCACUCCCCAACCACCCGUGUGCAAUGUCCCCCCAUUGCACCCCCAUGUGCAAAUACACCCCCCCUCAUUGCACAACCCCUCCUUAUUGCACAUCUACCCGUCAUUGCACACGUACCCCCAUUGCACACCCAUUACACACCCAUCUGCACACACAACCCUCAUUGCACAUCCAUAUACACCCCCACAUUGCACACACACCCCCAUUGCACACACCCCCAUUGCACAUCUAUCUACACCCCCCCAUUGCACACCCACCCCUCAUUGCACACCCAUUUGCACACGCACCCCCAUUAAAUCCACCCCAUCCUUCCACCCCACGUGUGCAACGUCCCCCCAUUGCACCCUCAUGUGCAAAUACAACCCCCUCAUUGCACACCCCCUCCUUAUUGCACACCUACCCCUUAUUGCACACCCACCCCUCAUUGCACACGUACCCCCAUUGCACACCCAUUACACACCCAUCUGCACACACACCCCCAUUGCACAUCCAUCUACACCCCCCCAUUGCACACCCACCCUUCAUUGCACACCCAUUUGCACACGCAUCCCCCAACCACCCCAUCCUUCCACCCCACGUGUGCAACGUCCCCCCAUUGCACGCCCAUGUGCAAACACACCCCCCUCAUUGCACACCCACCCAUCACACACCCACCCCCAUUGCACACCCACCCCUAAUUGC